AACGAACGCUGGCGGCAGGCUUAACACAUGCAAGUCGAGCGCCCCGCAAGGGGAGCGGCAGACGGGUGAGUAACGCGUGGGAAUCUACCCAGCUCUACGGAACAACUCCGGGAAACUGGAGCUAAUACCGUAUACGUCCUUCGGGAGAAAGAUUUAUCGGAGUUGGAUGAGCCCGCGUUGGAUUAGCUAGUUGGUGGGGUAAUGGCCUACCAAGGCGACGAUCCAUAGCUGGUCUGAGAGGAUGAUCAGCCACACUGGGACUGAGACACGGCCCAGACUCCUACGGGAGGCAGCAGUGGGGAAUAUUGGACAAUGAGCGAAAGCCUGAUCCAGCCAUGCCGCGUGAGUGAUGAAGGCCCUAGGGUUGUAAAGCUCUUUCACCGGUGAAGAUAAUGACGGUAACCGGAGAAGAAGCCCCGGCUAACUUCGUGCCAGCCGCCGCAGUAAAAC
rnacentral:rRNA from 1 species